rnacentral:rRNA from 1 species
GACGAACCGUGCGAACGUUAUUCGGAAUCACUGGGCUUAAAGCGCGUGUAGGCGGGACGGCACGUCGGUCGCUGAAAUCCCCCGGCUUAACCGGGGAACUGGCGUCGAUACGACCGCCCUGGAGGGGCGUAGGGGGACCUGGAACUUCCGGUGGAGCGGUGAAAUGCGUUGAGAUCGGAAGGAACGCCCGUGGCGAAAGCGGCGCACUGGACCACAACUGACGCUGAGGCGCGAAAGCUAGGGGAGCAAACAGG